AUUACAAAGUCAGGGCAUGUGAAGUUGUUCUUGGAAAUACUUCCAAAUGUCCUCUGGUAUGUUUUUGUCUUGAAAAGAGGUUUUCCAGCUAAAAAUUCAGCGUACAGAACCUCAAGGCUCCAGAGAGCUCCUUCUCAGCAUAUAUUUGACCUUCAGUCAUCUGAGGAAGCAGGAGGUCACGUACGCCUCUGUGAGUGCUGACCGCUCAGAAUCUUCGGUUCACAGGCCCUCUGGCUGACCCAUAUAGCCAGUUCAUUGCUUAAUAUUCUUGUCACUCACUUUUUGAGAAGUGACUGAUGGGCUUCUGCCAAUUUUGUCAUGGAACUGGCAACACUGCCCACCCACCUUGGAAAGUUCCUGAGACUCCUCCAUGGACUGCUCCCUCAUGGCAGUAGCCAUAUCAUCAGACUGAGGAUUCCCGAGGAUUAAUUGCAAAGUCCGAGACUGCUCAUUGAUUGGGAUGUUAUUCAGUGGCCCGGCGGUGGAUGAGUUAUAAGUACAUCUACAGUGACUUUGGCUUUUGAUUCUGAACUAGUGUUUGGCUGCAGACGGGCUUCUGUGUUUGUGGAGUAAUAUAGUGGGAAGAAUGUGGAGGACAGACUGACUCGAGCUCGGUAACCAAUUCUGAGAAGGAAACUGCAGAGUCACCAGAAUAACCUUUUGGACCACCCCCAAAUGGAGCAUCUUGAUGGAUGGUAAAUCCAAUUUUCCUCGGGCUUGUCCACGCCACCCAGAGCCUGCUGCCUUUUGUCAGACUUAAGACUUCACUGCUGCAGAGUCAUCCUGGGAUCUCCUUCCCUGGCCUUUUGACAGAAGGGAAAUCCUUUUUGUCCUUGAGGGCAGGGACUAUAUUUUACACUUUUCUAUAUACCCUGCAAUACUUAACAAUGAUUUACCCAUAGUAGGAAUUCAUUUAACUCCAUUGAACUCCCUGGAACAGAAGGCCAUCUGUUCCAGGGUUUAGCGGGGUUUGUGAAGGACAGCAGAGUCAUUUCCUGGGGUGAUGUAUGUGAAAGGGAUCCAAAAU
ensembl:lncRNA